UCUACUUCAGCAUCAUAAAACUAGAGCUGGAGCAACCAAGCCCUUGUAAAGUCGUUCCUGUUGAGAUGUCCUGAUGCAGUAAGAUGUACAAGUGCAUCAUCUCCAGAAUCAAUAGCCUGAUGGACGAGGAGAGGAAGAAAAGCAAAGCCACCACCCAGCUCUUCAACCUCCUGCCUUGCGCUGUCAAUCCGGGAGAAGAAUCCCUUGGCCUGGUAUAGAAAUUUGUGCUAGGAAGAGAUGAAUUUCACUGUUAUUCCUCUGACAGUAGUGAUGAUGAUAAUGUUGCAGAAAAUCAGUUCCUCCAGCAUAUGGGAAUGUGAAAAAGACCAUAAUGAUUGGAUACAAGAGUGGGAUAUCUUCAGUACAAAUACAGAUGGCUAAGAUAGGCAAGGAGAAGGGACAGAAAAUGAAGAAACUCUUGGAGUGGAAGACAAGCAAACAUUAUAAUGUCUUCAAAGAGAAGAUAAGCUACUUCAGGAAACCUUUAGACAUUUACUUCCAAACGUGUCUUUUGAGAAAAGUGAAGCAAGCUUGGAAGGGAAGUAGGUCAUCAGUUUGGGCACUGCUAGAGCAAUCAGAAUUGUUGGAAUUGGUCUUUCAGUCUACAGUCCUUCCCUAUAAACAUGAGACAAGUCACCUAACCUGGCCCAUACCUCCAUCACUCUCUGCUCCUGUUCAGCCUCCAGGCAGAGGCCACUGCUAUGGAGUUCAGGAGAAUGUGAUCAUUGCA
ensembl:lncRNA